rnacentral:sRNA from 1 species
GACUGACGGCGCCGGCCGUCCCUGCCCGUCGCCCGCCCGCUGCUGCCGCCCGCCCGGGGUGUGGAGCCCGGCCGCUGCUCGCGGGCUGAGUGUCUGUCGCUGCUGCCGCCUCCACCCAGCCUCCGCCAUGGACCUCUUCGGGGACCUGCCGGAGCCCGAGCGCUCGCCGCGCCCGGCUGCCGGGAAAGAAGCUCAGAAAGGACCCCUGCUCUUUGAUGACCUCCCUCCGGCCAGCAGUACUGACUCAGGAUCAGGGGGACCUUUGCUUUUUGAUGAUCUCCCACCCGCUAGCAGUGGCGAUUCAGGUUCUCUUGCCACAUCAAUAUCCCAGAUGGUAAAGACUGAAGGGAAAGGAGCAAAGAGAAAAACCUCCGAGGAAGAGAAGAAUGGCAGUGAAGAGCUUGUGGAAAAGAAAGUUUGUAAAGGUUUUCAGACAAUUUGAAAACAAAUGUAUUAGACUUCAUAUUUUAAAACAACCCAGAGCAAAACCAGUUUCAGCUUUCUAAUAAUACUUUCUUUUUAUGUCUGUAUUUAAGAAAUGAGUAGGGUUCCCUUUUUGCAAAUGAAUUUCCAAGUUUCUCUGUGCU